rnacentral:rRNA from 1 species
CCUACGGGAGACUGCAGUGAGGAAUAUUGGUCAAUGGCCGGAAGGCUGAACCAGCCAAGCCGCGUGAAGGACGAAGGUGCCAAGCAUUGUAAACUUCUUUUGUCAAGGGACAAAAUCAGGCUCGAGAGCCUGACCGAGGGUACUUGAAGAAAAAGCAUCGGCUAACUCCGUGCCAGCAGCCGCGGUAAUACGGAGGAUGCGAGCGUUAUCCGGAUUUAUUGGGUUUAAAGGGUGCGUAGGCGGACUGUUAAGUCAGCGGUAAAAGCCCGGGGCUCAACCCCGGCGAGCCGUUGAAACUGGCGGUCUUGAGAUGUCGAGAGGUAUGCGGAAUGCGCAGUGUAGCGGUGAAAUGCUUAGAUAUUGCGCAGAACUCCGAUUGCGAAGGCAGCAUACCGGCGGCGAUCUGACGCUGGGGCACGAAAGCGUGGGUAUCGAACAGGAUUAGAUACCCUGGUAGUC